rnacentral:rRNA from 1 species
CUACGGGAGGCUGCAGUGAGGAAUAUUGCACAAUGGGGGGAACCCUGAUGCAGCAACGCCGCGUGGAGGAUGACGCAUUUCGGUGUGUAAACUCCUUUUAUAUGUCAAGAAAAUGACGGUAGCAUAUGAAUAAGCACCGGCUAACUCCGUGCCAGCAGCCGCGGUAAUACGGAGGGUGCAAGCGUUACUCGGAAUCACUGGGCGUAAAGGGCGCGUAGGCGGGUUGGAAAGUCAGGUGUGAAAUCCUACAGCUUAACUGUAGAACUGCACUUGAAACUUCUAAUCUAGAGUAUGGGAGGGGGAGAUGGAAUUAGUGGUGUAGGGGUAAGAUCCGUAGAUAUCACUAGGAAUACCUAAAGCGAAGGCGAUCUCCUGGAACAUUACUGACGCUAAGGCGUGAAAGCGUGGGGAGCAAACAGGAUUAGAUACCCUAGUAGUC